rnacentral:rRNA from 1 species
UGCCAGCCGCCGCGGUAACACGGGGGGCGCAAGCGUUAUUCGGAAUUAUUGGGCGUAAAGCGCGUGUAGGCGGUUCGUUAAGUCUGAUGUGAAAGCCCGGGGCUCAACCCCGGAAGUGCAUUGGAAACUGGCGAACUUGAGUAUGGGAGAGGAAAGUGGAAUUCCGAGUGUAGGAGUGAAAUCCGUAGAUAUUCGAAGGAACAUCAGUGGCGAAGGCGGCCACCAGGACUGACACUGGCGCUGAGGUGCGAAAGUGUGGGGAGCAAACAGGAUUAGAUA